UAGGGAAUCUUCGGCAAUGGGGGGAACCCUGACCGAGCAACGCCGCGUGAGUGAAGAAGGUUUUUGGAUCGUAAAGCUCUGUUUUUAAGGAAGAACGAGUGUGAGAAUGGAAAGUUCAUACUGUGACGGUACUUAACCAGAAAGGGACGGCUAACUACGUGCCAGCAGCCGCGGUAAUACGUAGGUCCCGAGCGUUGUCCGGAUUUAUUGGGCGUAAAGCGAGCGCAGGCGGUUAGAAAAGUCUGAAGUGAAAGGCAGUGGCUCAACCAUUGUAUGCUUUGGAAACUGUUUAACUUGAGUGCAGAAGGGGAGAGUGGAAUUCCAUGUGUAGCGGUGAAAUGCGUAGAUAUAUGGGGGAACACCGGUGGCGAAAGCGGCUCUCUGGUCUGUAACUGUCGCUGGGGCUAGAAAGCGUGGGGAGCGAACAGG
rnacentral:rRNA from 1 species